ensembl:snoRNA Small nucleolar RNA SNORD100
UGUAUCUAUGAUGAUGAUUUUGGCUCCCUCUACUGAAUUCUCUGAGGAUAUCUGCCAUUCGUUACCCAAUUGUUUUCUGAGAUACU